ensembl:snRNA U2 U2 spliceosomal RNA
AUCGCUUCUCGGCCUUUUGGCUAAGAUCAAGUGUAGAACCAACUUUACUUGGUAACUUUAAAUUCUCCAAAUAUUUGAUAUGCUAAUUAAAAUUACAAGAAGUUAGAAAAAUUUUCUGUCAUUUAGUGGAAAAUGAACUUGAAAUUAUCGUAU